GAAAUGCGAUAAGUAGUGUGAAUAGCAGAAUUCAGUGAAUCAUCGAAUCUUUGAACGCACAUUGCGCCCUUUGGUAUUCCUUAGGGCAUGCCUGUUCGAGCGUCAUCUAAACCUUCAAGCCCUGCUUGGUGUUGGGUGCCUGUCCCGCCUCCGCGCGCGGACGCACCUCAAAUCCAUUGGCGGCCCCCGCGUCGGCCACGAGCGCAGCAGAAACGCGAACUCGUGAGCCCGUCCGGGCGGCUCCCAGAAGCUACACCCACCCAGUUUGACCUCGGAUCAGGUAGGGAUACCCGCUGAACUUAAGC
rnacentral:misc_RNA from 1 species